AUGGUGAAUCACGGGAAGGAGAAGGCUCGAUUUUUGUUUCGAUCUGCUCUCCGGCGGCAGCGGCCUUUCCCGAGCUUGGCGAGCCGGAGCUGGCCCUUCCCGUCGUCAACCACCUCCUCGCCGGCUGGCCGUCGUAGACCACGAAGCCGGUCCCCGCCAGUUCCUUCACCUCGCCGCCAACCUCGUCCAUCUCGCUCCCCCGCGCACCUCCCUGGAGUCGGCAGAAGUUCUCCACUUUCCUCCGUCGGCAGCAGCAACCAUCCCCGCCUUCGCCGCCCAGCAACCAGCACUGCCCGCGACGACAGAGAAAAGUUGCAGUUGCAGCAGUACGGGCCUGGAGAUUUGGUGACUGUCUUGCUGUUCGGUGAUGCAGCAGAACACUUGCAGUUGCUUGGGUGGCCUGGCCCUUUCAGUUGCAACUUGCAAAGUUCUGUAUGUAUCCUUUGGGUUGUUGAUUCUGAACAUUUUGUGCAACUUGUAUGUAUCCCCUACUUCAUCACCAAUUCGUUUGACCACACCACUUGCUUGCUGAUCUUCACAGGCAUAUAA
rnacentral:rRNA from 1 species